rnacentral:rRNA from 1 species
CCUACGGGAGGCAGCAGUGGGGAAUGUUGCGCAAUGGGCGAAAGCCUGACGCAGCCAUACCGCGUGUGUGAAGAAGGGUUUAGGCUCGUAAAGCACUUUAAGUAGGGAGGAAGGCCUGUAAAUUAAUACUUUGCAGGAUUGACGUUACCUACAGAAUAAGCACCGGCUAACUCCGUGCCAGCAGCCGCGGUAAUACGGAGGGUGCAAGCGUUAAUCGGAAUUACUGGGCGUAAAGCGCGCGUAGGCGGUUUGUUAAGCGAGAUGUGAAAGCCCAGGGCUCAACCUUGGAACUGCAUUUCGAACUGGCAGGCUAGAGUACAAGAGAGGGUGGUAGAAUUUCCUGUGUAGCGGUGAAAUGCGUAGAUAUAGGAAGGAAUACCAGUGGCGAAGGCGGCCACCUGGCUUGAUACUGACGCUGAGGUGCGAAAGCGUGGGGAGCGAACAGGAUUAGAUACCCUGGUAGUCCACGCCCUAAACGAUGUCAACUAGACGUUGGGCUCAUCAAGGAGCUUAGUGUCGAAGCUAACGCGUUAAGUUGACCGCCUGGGGAGUACGGCCACAAGGUUGAAACUCAAAUGAAUUGACGG